rnacentral:rRNA from 1 species
GGAGGAAAAGAAACCAACAGGGAUUGCCCUAGUAACGGCGAGUGAAGCGGCAACAGCUCAAAUUUGAAAUCUGGCUCUUUCAGAGUCCGAGUUGUAAUUUGCAGAGGGCGCUUUGGCUUUGGCAGCGGUCCAAGUUCCUUGGAACAGGACGUCACAGAGGGUGAGAAUCCCGUACGUGGUCGCUAGCUAUUGCCGUGUAAAGCCCCUUCGACGAGUCGAGUUGUUUGGGAAUGCAGCUCUAAAUGGGAGGUAAAUUUCUUCUAAAGCUAAAUAUUGGCCAGAGACCGAUAGCGCACAAGUAGAGUGAUCGAAAGAUGAAAAGCACUUUGGAAAGAGAGUCAAACAGCACGUGAAAUUGUUGAAAGGGAAGCGCUUGCAGCCAGACUUGCUUGCAGUUGCUCAUCCGGGCUUUUGCCCGGUGCACUCUUCUGUAGGCAGGCCAGCAUCAGUUUGGGCGGUGGGAUAAAGGUCUCUGUCACGUACCUCUCUUCGGGGAGGCCUUAUAGGGGAGACGACAUACCACCAGCCUAGACUGAGGUCCGCGCAUCUGCUAGGAUGCUGGCGUAAUGGCUGUAAGCGGCCCGUCUUGAC